rnacentral:lncRNA from 1 species
GGCGUUUGGUGAUCCUCGGGACCUGCCGGAGCCGGAACCCUCUUACCAGCAUUUUAGAUCAGUUGCUUUUCAAUAAGAGUAAACAUAUGGCAGCCUCAGUUCGUCAUUCCAUUUGAUUCUGCAACAACACUCUCAUCAUAUCUCCGGUCGGAAACUGCAUCCCCGUCAAUGACUUCGUUAAAUUAGAAACCCUAACCCUAAAUUCGAUGUCAUGGUGACACAACUUUGACAUUUUAAGCGGGGUGUAAACAAGCCAAGCUACUCAAGAUGGGCAUGAAAAAAGCUCGAAAGUUCAAUUAAACAAGCUUGAGCUCGAGCCUAAAAAUUUAGCUUGUUUAGUAAACAAGCCAAGCCAGAGCUUCGCUUAUUGAGCUAGAGCCGGCUGGAGAGCCAGUUGUAUAUAUAGUUUUUAUUUCAUAUAUAUUUUUAUAUAAUAGUUAUUAUUAUUGUUUAUAAAACUACGAUAAGAUAACUACAUCACGAGCUUGAGCUCGAGCCUAGUCGAGCUUGGACUUGGCUCGGCUGGUUUGCACCCGUACUUUUGAGUCUUCAAGAUGUUGAGAUCGUCUUCUGGUUUUCUUACUACAGAUGUUGAGUUCGUCUUGACUGCUUCUGUCAACUUCAAACUACACUUGUACGUCAUCGUGGGAUGUAAGGAAUCAUUGUGAAGUACUUAUUUGUACCUUGGAAUCUUGCGUGUGAUGUGAAGCCUAAAACGUUGCGCAUUUGUAUUGUAACUUAUACA